rnacentral:rRNA from 1 species
GACGAACGCUGGCGGCAUGCCUAACACAUGCAAGUCGAACGGAGAUUAUUUCGGUAAUCUUAGUGGCGAACGGGUGAGUAACGCGUAGGCAACCUGCCCUUUAGUUGGGGACAACAUCCCGAAAGGGGUGCUAAUACCGAAUGUGAUCGUUUCUCGCAUGAGAGAGCGAUGAAAGAUGGCCUCUAUUUAUAAGCUAUCGCUAAAGGAUGGGCCCGCGUCUGAUUAGCUAGUUGGUGGGUAACGGCCUACCAAGGCGAUGAUCAGUAGCCGGUCUGAGAGGAUGAACGGCCACAUUGGGACUGAGACACGGCCCAG